rnacentral:rRNA from 1 species
GACGACGCUGGCGGCGUGCUUAACACAUGCAAGUCGAACGGUCCUGUUUUGAAGCGCUUCGGCGUGGAGGGAGCGGGUUAGUGGCGCACGGGUGAGUAAUGCGCGAGGACCUGCCCGCGGGAGGGGGACAGCAGUUGGAAACGGCUGGUGAUACCCCGUAAGCCGGGAGGUAAAAGGGCGGAGACGCCCGCCUGCGGAUGGACUCGCGUCCUAUCAGCUAGUUGGUGAGGCAACGGCUCACCAAGGCGACGACGGGUAGCCGGCCUGAGAGGGUGUCCGGCCACACUGGAACUGAGACACGGUCCAGACUCCUACGGGAGGCAGCAGUGGGGAAUAUUGGGCAAUGGAAGGAAUUCUGACCCAGCCAUGCCGCGUGCAGGAAUACAGUCCUAUGGACUUUAAACUGCUUUUAUUAUAGAGUAACCUGGGGGACGUGUCCCCCACUGCAAGUAUAUAAUGAAUAAGCAUCGGCUAACUCCGUG